AACGUAGGUGGCGAGCGUUAUCCGGAUUUACUGGGCGUAAAGCGUGUGCAGGCGGGGGGACAAGUGGGGGAUGAAAUCUCCGGGCUAAACCUGGAGGGGUUAUGCCAGACUGUCAUUCUAGAGUGCGAGAGAGGGGCGUGGAAUUCCGGGUGUAGUGGUGAAAUGCGUAGAUAUCAGGAAGAACACCUAUGGCGAAGGCAGCACUCUGGGACGGUACUGACGCUGAGACGCGAAAGCGUGGGGAGCGAACAGG
rnacentral:rRNA from 1 species